UACGAGGGGGCGAGCGUUGUUCGGAAUUAUUGGGCGUAAAGGGUGCGUAGGUGGUUGCGUAAGUGAGAUGUGAAAUCCCCGGGCUUAACCUGGGAACUGCGUCUUAUACUGCGUAGCUGGAGUACAUGAGAGGGUAGUGGAAUUUCCGGUGUAGCGGUGAAAUGCGUAGAUAUCGGAAGGAACACCAGUGGCGAAGGCGGCCAACUGGACGAAUACUGACGCUGAGACACGAAAAGCG
rnacentral:rRNA from 1 species